GUGAGCGGCGGACGGGUGAGUAACGCGUGAGUAACCUGCCCUGUACACACGGAUAACAUACCGAAAGGUAUGCUAAUACGGGAUAACAUAUAAGAGUCGCAUGACUUUUAUAUCAAAGAUUUUUCGGUACAGGAUGGACCCGCGUCUGAUUAGCUUGUUGGCGGGGUAACGGCCCACCAAGGCGACGAUCAGUAGCCGACCUGAGAGGGUGAUCGGCCACAUUGGAACUGAGACACGGCCCAGACUCCUACGGGAGGCAGCAGUAGGGAAUCUUCCACAAUGGACGAAAGUCUGAUGGAGCAACGCCGCGUGAGUGAAGAAGGUUUUCGGAUCGUAAAACUCUGUUGUUGGAGAAGAACGUAUUUGAUAGUAACUGAUCAGGUAGUGACGGUAUCCAACCAGAAAGCCACGGCUAACUACGUGCCAGCAGCCGCGGUAAUACGUAGGUGGCAAGCGUUGUCCGGAUUUAUUGGGCGUAAAGCGAGCGCAGGCGGUUUCUUAAGUCUGAUGUGAAAGCCUUCGGCUCAACCGAAGAAGUGCAUCGGAAACUGGGAAACUUGAGUGCAGAAGAGGACAGUGGAACUCCAUGUGUAGCGGUGAAAUGCGUAGAUAUAUGGAAGAACACCAGUGGCGAAGGCGGCUGUCUGGUCUGUAACUGACGCUGAGGCUCGAAAGCAUGGGUAGCAAACAGGAUUAGAUACCCUGGUAGUCCAUGCCGUAAACGAUGAGUGGCUAGGUGUUGGAGGGGUUUCCGCCCUUCAGUGCCGCAGCUAACGCAUUAAGCACUCCGCCUGGGGAGUGCGACCGGCAAGGUAGAAACUCAAAGGAAAUUGACGGGGGCCCGCACAAGCGGUGGAGCAUGUGGUUUAAUUCGAAGCAACGCGAAGAACCUUACCAGGCCUUGACAUCCUUUGACCACUCUAGAGAUAGAGCUUUCCCUUCGGGGACAAAGUGACAGGUGGUGCAUGGUUGUCGUCAGCUCGUGUCGUGAGAUGUUGGGUUAAGUCCCGCAACGAGCGCAACCCCUAUUGUUAGUUGCUACGCAAGAGCACUCUAGCGAGACUGCCGUUGACAAAACGGAGGAAGGCGGGGACGACGUCAAAUCAUCAUGCCCCUUAUGUCCUGGGCUACACACGUAAUACAAUGGUGGUUAACAGAGGGAAGCAAGACUGCGAAGUGGAGCAAAUCCCUAAAAGCCAUCUCAGUUCGGAUUGCAGGCUGCAACUCGCCUGCAUGAAGCUGGAAUUGCUAGUAAUCGCGGAUCAGCAUGCCGCGGUGAAUACGUUCCCGGGCCUUGCACACACCGCCCGUCA
rnacentral:rRNA from 1 species